CACGGUGUCAAUGCCCAAUCUUGUCUCAUGUCGGAACCUAAGCAGAGUUGGGCCUGAUUAGUACUUCAAAGGAAGACCCCUGGGAAUACCAGGGGCUACAGUGG
rnacentral:rRNA from 1 species